rnacentral:tRNA from 1 species
CGAGAUAUAGCUCAGUGGUAGAGUGUGUACUUAGCAUACACGAGGUCCUGGGUUCAAUCCUCAGUACCACUA